rnacentral:rRNA from 1 species
AAUGACCUAACGGUUGAACCAGCAACUUGGAAGAAUGUUAAAAAUAUAUUAAUUUAUUGAUAUAUUUAAUGUAUACACAUAUAAAGUUCUAAAUAGAUUAAAGAUAAUGACAAUUAUCUAUUUAUUAGUCUUGACUAAAAUUACGUGCCAGCAGUCGCGGUAAUACGUAAAAGACAAGUGUAAGUCAUCUUAACUAGGUUUAAAGUGUAGAUAGACGGAAAAUUAAACCUAAAAAAAGGUACUUUUUUUCUAGAGUUAUAUGUAAGAAAAUUGAAUUUCCAAAAAAAAACGAUCAAAUGUGCUAAUAUUGGAAAGACAGGUAAAGGUUAAUACGACUUUCUUUGUAAUAACUGACGUUGAGAUACGAAGGCUUGGGGAGCGAGCAGGAUUAGAUACCCUAGUAGUCCAAGCAGAGAAUUCUGAAUGUCAUAUGUGAAAGCAUAUAAAUAAAAGUGUAAGCAUUCCACCUCAAGAGUAAAAUGGCAACAUUAAAACUGAAAUCAUUAGACCGUCUCUGAAAUCAGUAGUGAAGUAUGUUAUUUAAUUCGAUAGUCCGCGAUAAUCUUACCACAAUUUGAAUAAUAUUAAAAUAUAUUACAUGCGCUGCACGGCUGUCUUUAGUUUAUGCUGUGAGGUUAGAUUAAGUUCUACAAUAGACGAAAACCUUAACAUUAUUUAUAUGUAUAAUGUAGUUUGUUCUAUAUAUUGGAACUAUAUAUAUAGGAUUAAGACAAGUCAUCAUGGCCAUAAUAUUGU